rnacentral:lncRNA from 1 species
AUGACUUCUAUGAAUUGUAGCUCCUCAACUGUCACUGGAAAAUCCCCAUCCUCCAUUGUCUCAGGGCCGUGUAGUGAAAAAAGUGUGUUGCUGCAAUCUGAGUUGAUCGAGAGUUCACAAUGGAAAUUGCCAUUCUCUUCCCCUGAAAAUUUAUCACUCAGCCACGGAUUUUUCUCUCACUCUUUGCCCAAGGGUUCUGCAACGUGGCCAGAGGAAAAUCUUCCUGCAAGCUCAUUGGUUGUAUCAUCUGCAAUGUGCAAAUCGCAGUGCAAGUUCUUGAAGAUGUCACGCCAGAGCAUGC